GGUUAAGCGACUAAGCGUACACGGUGGAUGCCUAGGCAGUCAGAGGCGAUGAAGGGCGUGCUAAUCUGCGAAAAGCGUCGGUAAGCUGAUAUGAAGCGUUAUAACCGACGAUACCCGAAUGGGGAAACCCAGUGCAAUACGUUGCACUAUCGUUAGAUGAAUACAUAGUCUAACGAGGCGAACCGGGGGAACUGAAACAUCUAAGUACCCCGAGGAAAAGAAAUCAACCGAGAUUCCCCCAGUAGCGGCGAGCGAACGGGGAGGAGCCCAGAGUCUGAAUCAGUUUGUGUGUUAGUGGAAGCGUCUGGAAAGUCGCACGGUACAGGGUGAUAGUCCCGUACACCAAAAUGCACAGGCUGUGAACUCGAUGAGUAGGGCGGGACACGUGACAUCCUGUCUGAAUAUGGGGGGACCAUCCUCCAAGGCUAAAUACUCCUGACUGACCGAUAGUGAACCAGUACCGUGAGGGAAAGGCGAAAAGAACCCCGGCGAGGGGAGUGAAAUAGAACCUGAAACCGUGUACGUACAAGCAGUGGGAGCACCUUCGUGGUGUGACUGCGUACCUUUUGUAUAAUGGGUCAGCGACUUAUAUUUUGUAGCAAGGUUAACCGAAUAGGGGAGCCGUAGGGAAACCGAGUCUUAACUGGGCGUCUAGUUGCAAGGUAUAGACCCGAAAC
rnacentral:rRNA from 1 species